AUUGAACGCUGGCGGCAUGCUUUACACAUGCAAGUCGAACGGUAACAGGCCUUCGGGUGCUGUCGAGUGGCGAACGGGUGAGUAAUGCAUCGGAACGUACCCAGAGGUGGGGGAUAACGCAGCGAAAGCUGUGCUAAUACCGCAUGUGAUCUGAGGAUGAAAGCGGGGGACCGAGCAGCAAUGUUUGGCCUCGCGCCUUUGGAGCGGCCGAUGUCGGAUUAGCUAGUUGGUGGGGUAAAGGCCUACCAAGGCGACGAUCCGUAGCUGGUCUGAGAGGACGACCAGCCACACUGGGACUGAGACACGGCCCAGACUCCUACGGGAGGCAGCAGUGGGGAAUGUUGGACAAUGGGCGCAAGCCUGAUCCAGCAAUGCCGCGUGAGGGAAGAAGGCCUUCGGGUUGUAAAACGCUUUUGGCAGGAACGAAACGGUGUCCGCGAAAACCGGGCGCUAAUGACGGUACCUGCAGAAUAAGCACCGGCUAACUACGUG
rnacentral:rRNA from 1 species